CGGGGGGCGCCGGCGGGAAUUCAGGGUCGAUUCGCGGACGUCCUCGGGCGUUCGCGUCGAUUCGAUAUUUCCGUCGCCGACCCUCAACCGAGGGUGUCGGACGUCGCGACCCGUUCGCCAUUUUGUCGACGCUUAGGGACGCGUUUUCGGUUCGCCUGCGCGGCCGCCUCGGCGGUCGCGCGACGACGGCGCGUUUCCGUUGUCUUCGACGCGGACGGUAGCUUUGCGCGCGGGUAUUCGACGCGGCCCUUCGCCCGGCGCUUCGUGCGUCGGGCGGCGCUCGCGUCGACGCCGGUCAGCGACGAAUCUUCGGGCCUCUUUCCGACCCGUCUUGAAACACGGACCAAA
rnacentral:rRNA from 1 species